CAUCGAUGCACCGGAGAGACAACUUCUGGUUACAGAAAACCAACAGACCAAUCUGCUUCGCAUGCAAGUCGGAGAACUACGUCACCUCUCAGCCAUCUCUACCUCCAGGGCAUCCUUGCCUCUGCCUUCAUGAUCUGAUGAUCUCCUGGAAGUGAGUUCCAAGGUGUCUUCAAUGAAAUAGCGGCAGUCACUCUUCUACCACAUUAUCCAUGGUAAUGUGCCAUUCAGUGCUUCACGGAACCUUUCCUCCGUGUGGCUGGGUCUUUCCAUCGCUCCUCCCCGAAUCAGAGGCUAUGGACCAGUAUACUGAAGAAGCCCAUAACUUGGUAAUUAUUGUUACCAUCUAUUUCUCAAGCUGCUUCAAGUUUCAUCUUCGUGAAAAAGAAGGAUGGCAGCCUUGUAUCAACUACCAAGCUCUAAGUGACAUCACCAUUAGGUCUGCCGCUUCCUUCUCCUGAUCCAUCCAACGCUGAAAGGCAUCAACACCGCAGCCAUCUUUAAAAAGUUAAAGAUUUGAAGAGUUUGUAACCUCAUCAGAAUUUGUGAGGGGGAUGAAUGGAAGGCAGUUUUCAUCACAUCCAGGGGGAACUACGAAUGUCAGAUUAUGCCAUAUGGACUUGCAAACGCCCCCACAAUGUUCCAAUAUUUUAUUGACGAGAUCUACAGAGUCAUGGUGAACGAAUGUCUUAUUGUAUUUAUUGUAUAUAUUAAUGACUCAUUUACUCCCCCUCUUGACUCUCAAGAGUUAAGUAAUCUAAGUCCAUCAGAGACCUCUACACUAAAACCAAGAUGUGCAAGUUUCAUAAAUUGUCGAUCUCUUUUCUGCGAUGUGUUACUGGGUGAGACUGCGUAGUUGCAAAUAAAAUAUCUGAUAUUCA